rnacentral:lncRNA from 1 species
CAACUGCCACUCUGCAACGGCUUCCCACACUCUUAUGGGUUUGCAAUUCCUUUAAGCUCCUCCAAUCCUUCCGCCAGCUCACCCACCAAGGUCACGGAACUCAGUCUGAUGGUUGGCUCCAAGUAUCUACAUCUGCAUUGGUCAGUUGCUGGCUGAACCUCUCAAGGAGCAGCCACACCUGGUUCCUGUCAGCAAGUGCCUUGACAAGUGUCAGCAAGUGUCCGGUUUGGGUUUGACGUCUGCACACAGGAUGGAUCCCCCGGUGUAACACAGAUUUACAGUGCAGGUUUUUGUUGUUGUUGUUUUUUGUUUUUUGUUUUUUGUUUGUUUUUGUUUUUUCCCUCUGUGUAGCCCUGGCUGUCCUGGAACUCACUAUGUAGACCAGGCUGGCCUCAAACUCAGAAAUCUGCCUGCCUCUGACUCCUAAGUGUUGGAAUUAAAGGGAUGCACCACCACUGCCCACCUCCUGGCUAGCUUUAAAGGCAAUUUUACAUUUACAUUUAUUAGUUGAUGCCUUCCAUAAAAAAAAAAAUAGUUGUCAAAGUCAGUUUCUUGGAUUUCAAAAGGAAAAGAGCUGAAGAGCAAUUGUAUAUCAUGAUUUUCUCCUUCGAUUUUCAGGCACAAGAGUUUGGAGGCAUGGCCAUGAGAAUGAAUGGAAAUCUCCAACUGACUGUGGUAGAAUGGUGAAAGACAUCUUCAGGAUGAUACCGCGACCUGGGAUAAGGGAGGUGCCCAAGAAAAAUGGGAUUGACCUUAGCAGGACUCAUCCUACAGCAAGGCAGGAACCCCAGUGGAGUGAUAUACACACCAACCCACCCACAAAACUUGCUUUUUAUUUUUUUAGUGCCACUGUAGACUAAGAAUUAGACACAUCAUCUUAUAAGCCUCCAUGAGGGUCGGUAUUGCUGCCUUAAAAUCCUGGGUCUUCAGCAAACACAGGGAUUAAUUGGAAGUUACAAGUUCCAGCGAAGCCUGUUCUUGAGGAAACACAGUCUUUGUGGACUCACAAGAGGAUGUAUUCAACUUCCCAGCUCACUGAUUUGACAGUAAAGGAUUCUUGGGUGGCAUUUCAGAGCAUAGAGAUGACCCUAGAACACCUCUGCUCCCAACCCUGCCCCUACCCCCUGCUGAAGCCUCUGUUUCAAGUGAUGUAGCUACUUGGAUGUACCUACUUUAAAAAUAAAAUGAUAUGCAAGUUUAAAAAAGAAAGAAAGAAAGAAAGAAAGAAAGAAAGAAAGAAAGAAAGAAAGAAAGAAAGAAAGAAAGAAAGAAAGAAAGACAGGAAAGCCAGCCAAGAAACAAGUUUCAUAGAGUCUGGGCAUCUUGUAGAAUUCUCACUUAUAAGAAAUGGUUGUGAAGGAAAUUUGCAAAUGUAUGCUUAUAUGAGAGAAUCAUGAAAGUUACAUAGAGUCAGGACAGAAAUGAUGAGGUAGGUGAUUGUGGUGGCAGAGGCUGGAGAACCUGCAUGUCUGACUAAUGGGAUAUGGGUGGCCAGGAGUCGUAAUCUGAGAUGAGAUGUUGGAUUUUAUAUUUCAGGAGUACUGGAGAUGGCAGGGUCUGGAUUUUAAAAGGAUGGGUCAUCCUAUAUGAGACUACGAUCGUUCCACAUGAGAGAGCAAGAGUUGUGUGUUUGACAUGAGUAUUUGGCAUUGUGCAACUUUGUCAAGCUUCAGAAAAGAAUGAGAAGUUGGAAAGUAGAAAUGGGCAGUUAACUAAAAUGUGUAAAUUAAGCAGCAUUUUUACUAAAAGAGGGAAAAUGCAUCAUAAAACAUAUACUGACAUGGAUGCAGUCUGGUCUCCCGACCAAGAGAAUUAUACACUUUGAGAAAUGGGUAUGAAGCACUGAGUGGCUCCUAGAAUUCAUGACAGCAGGACUUGGGAGAAUCCAGUGCUGUGGGGCUCUGGCUUCUAAUUCUCUGUUAUACAUGAUGGCUGAUAAAAAUAGUCCUGAAACUGGCAGACCAUAAUUUUAACUCUAUUUAUUAUGUGGAAAUACACAAGCAUGAAAAAUAUGGAGAUGAAGACAGUGUCAAAAACAGUGGAAAGUUCUUUUCAUGUCACUCAUCAUCCAAAACUCUGUAUUUUGAUUGCAUGGUUUUCUAUAACUGGUCAUUGACAUUUGUAAAAAGAUGCUUCCUUGAUUAAGGGUGAAGGCUACACUUACCUGUGAAUAUAAGGACAGAUAUUUAGAGUGUAGUUGUGGAUUAUGUUGGUUUAGUUAAGUGGUAUUUGUACAUUCUUCUCCAAGAUCCUUGACUUCUCUUCCUCUGGGUAGCUGGGCACAGGACUGAAGGGGUCAUGCAGUGUUUUGGAGAUGCCAGUAUCAUGAGAUGACCACCAAGAGCAGCAGCAGCAGCGGAGUUCAGGCAUCUGGAUCCUAACUAAGACAGCCUCUAUCUAGUCUAUGGAACUUAGAUCUGUUGUGAUUGUGUGCACAAGACAUGCAGAAGACCAAGUCUAUUGCACUACAACAUGGAGCAGGAAGUAUUGGUUUUACUCAGAGAGUUAUCAAAAGAAUCAGGAGAUGCACAGCAGAAGGAAGAAGAAUAUGAGAAAACAUCAUGAAAAAGGAAGAAGAAUGUAGCUGGAGAAAGUGGAUGGAGGUAGAGAGUAUGAGGCAUGGACAUGACCUAAAUAAGAUUGUGAGAGUAGAAGGGAAGGAAGGAAAGGAGGAAGAAGAAUGAAAAGGAAGGAAAAAGGAACUGAGGAGCAGAAUAAGGAAGGAUGAAGAAAGAAGUAGUUGAAAGAAGAAAGGAAAAAUGAAGGGUGGAAGUGAAGCACAAAGGAAGGAAAGAAGAAAGGGAGAAAGAAAGAAAAGAAAGGGAAACGAAAUGCAGGAGAAAAGGAAUAAGGAAGGAUGGGAGAGAAAAAGAAGAAAAAGAGAAGGAAGAAGAGAGGGAGAGAUACAGACAUGUAAGACUGACAGAAGAGAUGUAAGACUGACAGAAUGUUGAAGGGGGGUCAGCAUUUCAUGUAUUUUAAUGUUGCCCAUAGAUUUCAUCCGGUGAACAUGCCCAGCAAAAAGGACCCAAAAGAGGGUAUAUGGCAAAAAAGAAACAGAUUGCUAAAGUAGAAAGAAGAGAAACAUGCAUAUUUUAGGAGUGAAACAUGAAGGAUGAUAUCAACUUGGAGUUGGUAACACUGAUUUUGUUGAACGAUUUCUUCUAUAUCUUUGACAGCUCAUGUUGGUAGACUUAGUAGAGUAAUGGCUAUUUAUCUUGAGGUGAUGUAACAGAAACCACCAGACUGCCUCUACCUGAUGUAGUAUGAGGUAAAAAUGGACAAAACCUAAAUGCUAUCUACACUGGGGAAGGUUUCUAGAAGAUGCACGGCCCAAAUGUGAUCUCUAAUGUUCACCAAGUGGAUAAACAGAAGACUUUGAGGAUAAAGAUUUGCUUCUAGAAAGUUUUUUGAAGUAAUUUCUGUCUAUAGUAAA